rnacentral:rRNA from 1 species
UACGUAGGGGGCAAGCGUUAUCCGGAUUUACUGGGUGUAAAGGGAGCGUAGACGGCAGUGCAAGUCUGGAGUGAAAGGCAAGGGCUCAACCCUUGGACUGCUUUGGAAACUGUGCUGCUGGAGUGUCGGAGAGGCAAGUGGAAUUCCUAGUGUAGCGGUGAAAUGCGUAGAUAUUAGGAGGAACACCAGUGGCGAAGGCGGCUUGCUGGACGAUGACUGACGUUGAGGCUCGAAAGCGUGGGGAGCAAACAGG